AACAAAACAUUGCUGCAUGUUUACAGUUUGCACAAGAUCACCUGGAUGUUCCACAGCAGUACUGGCAAAAUAUUCUGUGGACAGAUGAAACCACAGACACACUAUGUGUGGCGAAAAAAAGGCACAGCACACCAACAUCAAAACCUCAUCCCAACUGUGAAGUAUGGUGGUGGGGGCAUCAUGGGUUGGGGCUGCUUUACUGCAUCAGGGCCUGGACGGAUUUCUAUCAUCGAAGGAAAAAUGAAUUCCCAAGUUUAUCAAGACAUUUUGCAGGAGAAAGUAAGGCCAUCUGUCUACCAGCUGAAGCUCAACAGAAGAUGGGUGUUGCAACAGGACAAUGACCCAAAGCAUAGAAGCAAAUCAACAACAGAAUGGCUUAAACAGAAGAAAAUACGCCUUCUGAAGUGGCCCAGUCAGAGUCCUCAACCCAAUUGAGAUGCUGUGACAUGACCUCAAGAAAGCGAUUCACACCAGACAUCCCAAGAAUAUUGCUGAACUGAAACAGUUCUGUAAAGAGGAAU